rnacentral:rRNA from 1 species
UUUCGAAUCAUUCACAAUGGGCGAAAGCCUGAUGGUGCGACGCCGCGUGAGGGAUGAAGGUCUUCGGAUUGUAAACCUCUGUCACCGGGGAAGAAACGCUUCAUUUUAAUAGAAUGAAGCCUGACUUAACCCGGAGAGGAAGCAGUGGCUAACUCUGUGCCAGCAGCCGCGGUAAUACAGAGACUGCGAGCGUUAUUCGGAUUCACUGGGCGUAAAGGGUGCGCAGGCGGUUGGGUGUGUCAGAUGUGAAAUCCCGAGGCUCAACCUCGGAACUGCGUCUGAAACUACUCGACUAGAGUAUUGGAGAGGGUAACGGAAUUCACGGUGUAGCAGUGAAAUGCGUAGAUAUCGUGAGGAACACCAGAGGCGAAGGCGGUUACCUGGACAAUUACUGACGCUCAGGCACGAAAGCGUGGGGAGCAAAAGGG